CCUACGGGGGGCAGCAGUGGGGAAUAUUGGGCAAUGGAGGCAACUCUGACCCAGCAACGCCGCGUGAGUGAUGAAGGUCUUCGGAUUGUAAAGUUCUGUGAUGGGGGAUGAACACAAUGACGGUAACCCAAUAGCAAGCCACGGGUAACUACGUGCCAGCAGCCGAGGUAAUACGUAGGUGGCAAGCGUUAACCGGAAGGACUGGGCGUAAAGGGUGCUUAGGUGGUGAGACAAGUCUGAAGUGAAAGCCCGGGGCUCAACCCCGGGACUGCUUGGGAAACUGCCUGACUGGGGUGGUGGAGAGGCAAGCGGAAUUCCUAGGGGAGCGGGUAAAUGCGGAGAUAUUAG
rnacentral:rRNA from 1 species